rnacentral:rRNA from 1 species
UACGUAGGCAGCGAGCGUUGUUCGGAGUUACUGGGGCGUAAAGGGUGUGUAGGCGGUUGUUUAAGUUUGGUGUGAAAUCUCCCGGCUCAACUGGGAGGGUGCGCCCGAAUACUGAAUGACUUGGAGUGCGGGAGAGGAAGUGGGAAUUCCUGGUGUAGCGGUGAAAUGCGUAGAUAUCAGGAGGAACACCGGUGGUGUAGACGGCUUUCUGGACCGUAACUGACGCUGAGACACGAAAGCGUUGGGUAGCAAACAAG